rfam:Gossypium raimondii Chr06_contig_823, whole genome shotgun sequence.
UGUUAAAAUUUUUAUCUAUUUCUACUAUUAAAAACUAAAAUGGCUAGCAAAAUAAUCAAAUAGUUACAUGUGGUGUGCCAUAUGUACCUUGUUCCAACAUUCAAGGCCCAAUGUUUAAUAGCAAAAAUGGAUGAAACUUUUAAUA